GGGAUACACUCCUCCAAUCAGAGGCAUACGGAGACAAUAAAAUUUUUUUAAGAUGGGGAUUUUACCAGUCAGGCUCCUGGCUAGAAACCAGCUACCAGCUGGUACCUGAUCUAGCCAUAGCCUGACAGUAAACGGGUCUAGAAAAGGAAUACAGCAGCUAACAUUUGCAGGAGACAGAGCCAAUUGAGACUUAGCAUAGGCGGAAAUAUGCUGAGAUUCCUCCUCCUCCUGCCUGCAGUCAGCGGCUCCUGUUUACUGUUCAUGGAAUGUAUUCCUGCUCCUUAAGCCAUGCUUAUGCUUUAAGAUUUGUCAUCUCUGCCUCAGUCUUAGAGUCCGACAUCAUCUGCAAGCAGGAUGAUACAUUGUGGGAAUCAUUUUCUGACAGAGACCAGGAGCUUUGUGAGACCAGGCAAAAGUGAUCCAAGAGUUGGUCAUGUGUGAAUGAGAAGAGUAGCUCAAUAAAGGAGUAGGAUCAUCCUAAAUAAUUUCUCACUUAUGCUUAUCAGAAGCAUGUGGGAGUUAACAUGAAAGGGAAGCUAAGGAAAGAGCUGAAUAACGAAUAGCUUCGUGUUCAUCUUUAAGAAAGUCCCAGAAAGCAGUGACCUAGCAGCCAUUCAGAGACCUGCUAACCACCAGGGUCUCAGAUUCAACACUGAAGCCAUGUUUCCUCUCAAGAUCAUGUCACGCUCCCACCAGAUGUCAACCACCACACUCUGCUGAUGGCUGAAGAGCACAAUCAAGGAAGUGUUUGGACAAGUUAUGCAAUCUUAGAAAAACCUGGUGGAGGAAUUUCAGCACCUAUAAAGGAACAAGAUGAAGAUCCUACCCUGUAACAAGUGUGUGCAAUCCUGUAGCUUAUCAUGAUGUGACAGCUGAAUAACCUCAAUAGCUGAAUGAACUUCUUGGAAGAAUUUGCAGAAGGCAUGGACAUGGAAAUAGUCAAGGUUGAAUGUUUUUUUCCUCCAUUUUAAUUGUGAACCCCACAUUCAAAUGGAUGCUCACUCAACAUAAAAUAACAGUAAUUCAUUAUGUCAUUCCAACAGUUGUCUGUGAUAAUCUGAAAUUUUUGAGGCACCAAUCAUUAGAUAGAGAACAAAUCAAUUUUCUUACUUACAGAAAUAUUAUUUGAAAGGUUUUAUUAAUCUGGACAAUUCUAUAACCAGAACUUCACAGUUUUACAGGUAAAAUUAGCUAAAAAAAGAGAAAAAUGUUUUGUUUCAUUAAUGAAACUAUAUUUUCGUAUCAAUAGAGAUUAUAUUUUAGCAAAAAAGCUAUAGCAAUGUGACUAUAAUUAAAUAUUCUAACACAUGCUUGUUGAAAUUCUGUUUAUAAUUCCCUUUAAGACAGAACAUCAAUAUCAUGGCAUUUAUAGGGGCUGUCAUAGAUUAGAAAUGAAAUUCUUCACCAUUAAAGCAGUCUAUCAGCACAGAUGAUGUCAGUGCGCAGAAAAUGAUAGAUAAGUGAACAGCACAAUUUUCCCAGAGUUGGACAUAAAGGAAAACUAAAAAAAAUCUGAAUUGCAAUUUUAAAAGUUCUUCUAUUUUAAUUGUAAAUAAUGGUCUCUAUUUAUAUCUAUAAAUACAUAUUAUAGCACAAAUAUAUAAAAAUUGCUGAGAAAUAUAUGUGGUUCAGUGGUAAGUUUUCUCAGCAAUUAAGAACAUUUCUUCCUUUUCCACAUAUCCACAGUAUUAAUCCUCAUACCCCAACUACAGCAAACUGCUGUCUCCAUUUCUGGUACUACUGUAUCUGAUUCCCCCUUAAACCUUCUAUGCACAAAAGCCACAGACUUACAUGAUGCAGAAGAAUAUAUGCACAUGAAAUAAACACUGAAAAGUUGGCUUAUGCAAGUCUCAAGCAAGUUUAAUAUCUUACUUGACCAGUGGCUGUUUUUUAUUACACAAAAAGUGAAGACUCUAGAAUUCAUGCAAAUGGCAUAGUUUUGAUAUGUUCAGAGUGUAAUUUAGGUAAAGAUACAGAUUAUUUCACUAUAUUUUCCAGUUCUCAAAAGAUGUCUUUACAUAGCCUUUACUACCACUUCCUAAGCCCAAUUCUGAAACUAUAUUUACAUCCCUCAAUCACAAAACAAAAUUAUGCAUAACAUAAUUCAGCCCUCUAUUUCAGUUGGUAGAAUAGUUUCUUUGUAUGCAGAACUAUUAGGUAACUGUUAUGUCUAAACUGUCGAGAGGAAGGUUGUUCAUAGAACUGAGAAACACAAAUCCCUUUGGCGAAUCAGCCAACUCAGCAAAUUUCUAGUUUCAUAAAUUACCUCUGAGUGAGAAACAUAGUCUGUAGUGGAAUUGCCUUUACAUUUUUUAUGGAGCUGUAGGUAUGCAUUUCAGAAUUUUCUCCCACACUCCUGUGGGCUUUGGGCAAUACAUCUGUUUUUGCACCACACAUGCUUACUCAUGGUUCUGUAUGUAACAUCAUUAAAUAAUUGUAUUUUACAGGAAGUUAUUAAUAUUUGGCUUUUAAUCCAUGUCCUUUCUGGGUAAAACUGACCUUUACAUAUGUCAUUCCAGGAAAAGACACACAGGAGGAAAGUAUACCUGUAUAUACGUGAAGAAAAUUUCCUUACCAGUGGUCAAUGAAGUUUAAAAUUGCAGUUAAUAGGGAUUAUAUUUAGGUUUAUUCACUUCUUGUGCUUUAGCUGUAGGUCAGGUAAGGUUGAAAUUUUACACUCAUAUGAUCCUUUUGAUGCAGACUCCUGUGACCAGUGAUCACCAGAGCUUAUGUCCAUAUAUGCUCAGGUAUGGUUUACAUUUUUCAAUAUAUUUUUGAGUUAACAUUUUGAAUAUUGUUUUUUUUCUGAAACACAACUUAAUAAUUAUUUGAUCUUAUGAGUUGCAGAAUUGCCAUAAUCUUUUGUUUUAUUUUUAGAAAGAAUUUUGUGGGUUCCUUACUAUUUAUAUACCCACAGGUUAUGUUAUUUUCCCAAAGGUAUAAUUAUUUGUUUAUCAUAUCAAGGGACUAUACUAAAUACAUGAUUCUUUAUGUUAUUUCCUCAUCUAAUAAACCUGACAGUUUCUUUGAAACAAAAUUAAAUAAUAAUAUGGAGGGAAUGAGCAUCUUUUAAAAAUUAUAUUCUAUGUGUAUAGUAGAACUUAUCAAUACUGUUAUUUUAAUCCUGAAAGAAUGUGACUCUUAAUUGUUUAAUUUUGUUUCUCUUUUUUUUUUUGCUUUGAUUUAACAUUGUAUUUGGAAGACAUUUUUUUUAUUCCUUUAUUCAUUAUUGAUUUAACUUUAUGUGUGUGAUUACUUUUCUCCCAUAAAUGUCUUUGAAUGCCUGCUUGUCUUGUUUCUUUUAAUGGUCAGAAAAUGUUGUAGGAUUUCCUGCCUUGGAGUUACAGACAUUUGUGAGGUAAUGUGUAGUUCCUAGAAAUCAAAGUAGUGUAUUCUAGAAGACCAGGCAGUGUUUGUAAGUGUUGAGCUGUCCAUCCUGACAUUUUCGCUUAUUGUUCUUUUCCCUUGAUCUUACAUCAUAUUUGUCUGCCAUUUUCUGUAAUGGAUAUAUAUAUAUAUAUAUAUAUAUAUAUAU
rnacentral:lncRNA from 1 species